rfam:Pongo abelii chromosome 19.
UGUCAGGCUGUGACCCUCUUGAGGGAAGCACUUUCUGUUGUCUGAAAAGAAAAGCAAGUGCUUCCUUUUUAUGAGGCUUACUGUCUGAAA